rnacentral:rRNA from 1 species
AUUGAACGCUGGCGGCAGGCUUAACACAUGCAAGUCGAGCGGGGAUUGGGUGCUUGCACCUAAUCUUAGCGGCGGACGGGUGAGUAAUGCUUAGGAAUCUGCCAUUUAGUGGGGGACAACAUUCCGAAAGGGAUGCUAAUACCGCAUACGCCCUACGGGGGAAAGCAGGGGAUCUUCGGACCUUGCGCUAAAUGAUGAGCCUAAGUCGGAUUAGCUAGUUGGUGGGGUAAAGGCCUACCAAGGCGACGAUCUGUAGCGGGUCUGAGAGGAUGAUCCGCCACACUGGGACUGAGACACGGCCCAGACUCCUACGGGAGGCAGCAGUGGGGAAUAUUGGACAAUGGGCGGAAGCCUGAUCCAGCCAUGCCGCGUGUGUGAAGAAGGCCUUUUGGUUGUAAAGCACUUUAAGCGAGGAGGAGGCUACUUAGAUUAAUACUCUAGGAUAGUGGACGUUACUCGCAGAAUAAGCACCGGCUAACUCUGUGCCAGCAGCCGCGGUAAUACAGAGGGUGCGAGCGUUAAUCGGAUUUACUGGGCGUAAAGCGUGCGUAGGCGGCUGAUUAAGUCGGAUGUGAAAUCCCUGAGCUUAACUUAGGAAUUGCAUUCGAUACUGGUCAGCUAGAGUAUGGGAGAGGAUGGUAGAAUUCCAGGUGUAGCGGUGAAAUGCGUAGAGAUCUGGAGGAAUACCGAUGGCGAAGGCAGCCAUCUGGCCUAAUACUGACGCUGAGGUACGAAAGCAUGGGGAGCAAACAGG